rnacentral:sRNA from 1 species
UUUUAGCCCCGAUAGAAACGAAAAUCCUUGUGGGGGCUAGCAUUUUGCCCCCAUAAGAUUAUAGUGGAUAGCGGGAGGGAUG